rnacentral:tRNA from 1 species
UCUCUGGUAGCACAGUCAGUAAAGUAUCUGCCUGCAAUGUAGGAGACCCAGGUUUAGUUCCUGGGUCAGGGAA